rnacentral:snRNA from 1 species
GGAUGUGAAGAUGAUCUGGCUGGCCAGGCAGGUGUCCUCUCCCUCCCUCAUCAUUCCAUGUACGUCCCUCCCUAAGCGCUGUGCUGGGUAGACAGCCUUCCCUGAAUAGACGUGUAGCUGCACUUCCCUGCUAGAACCUUCAAGUUCUUUAAAAAAAAGGUAGUUUUAUUAUUUUCCUAUCAUUACACUUGCAGGACAUAAUAAAAAUGAGGUAAAACAAAAAUAACAGCAAAUGCAAAGUAAAUU